rnacentral:lncRNA from 1 species
GAUUAUCUGGUCAGUGAAGUCUUUAUAAAGCAUUUACAAUAGUGCAGAAUUUUGUGUGGCAGUUUAAGUAAGUGUGCAUCCUAUGAGAUGUGACGCAGGCAGAAACUCCCUAAAAGAUUCAGCGCAUGGACUCAGGAGAGGGCAGCCAGAGAUGGCUGUGAGAAUAGACUUCAGAAAGCUGGAUCUUGAAAGAUGAGCUGAAGUAAGCAAAGAAGAAUAAAAAGGGGUGCAGAGGGUGGAAGUUGCUCAAAUGGCUGGGACACAUGUGCUAUGAAUGGGGAGAUGUUGCCAGAGACAGGGUGAAACCAGAUAAUAAAACACUGUAUGCCCCCAUGAAGGAGCUUAUUUAACAAGCAAGAACAUGGCAAGGUCAGGCAACUGGACACUAAGUGCUGAACAAAGCCCAGAUGAAGUACAGCUCCAUUUACCCAGACUUCUGAUC